GUCUAUGGCCAGACCACCCUGAACACACCCAGUGUCAUCUGAUCUCAAAAAGCUAACCUGGCUAGUACUUGGAUGGGAGACUGCCUGGGAAUUUGGAGUGCUGUAGGCU
rnacentral:rRNA from 1 species